rnacentral:rRNA from 1 species
AACAAACGCUGGCGGCGUGUCUUAAGCAUGCAAGUUGAGCGGCAAGGAGGAGAGAUCCUCCCUAGAGCGGCGGACUGGUGAGUAACGCGUGGGUAGUCUAUCGUAGGCAUGGGGAUAGUCACUAGAAAUAGUGGGUAAUACCGAAUACGUUCCAUGAGGGGAGUAUUCAUGGAAGAAAGGGUGCUACGGCACUGGCCUUAGGUGAGCUCGCGUCCCAUUAGCUAGUUGGUGAGGUAAAGGCCCACCAAGGCGAUGAUGGGUAGCCGGCCUGAGAGGGUGUACGGCCACACUGGGACUGAGAUACGGCCCAGACUCCUACGGGAGGCAGCAGCUAAGAAUAUUCCGCAAUGGACGGAAGUCUGACGGAGCGACGCCGCGUGGAUGAAGAAGGCCGAAAGGUUGUAAAGUUCUUUUGCUAGGGGAGAAUAAGUGAGGGAGGGAAUGCCCUCAUGAUGACAAGGACUAGCGAAUAAGCCCCGGCCAACUACGUG